GAUGAACGCUGGUGGCGUGCUUAACACAUGCAAGUCGAACGGGAAACCUUUUAUUGAAGCUUCGGCAGAUUUAGCUAGUUUCUAGUGGCGGACGGGUGAGUAACGCGUGGGUAACCUGCCUUAUACAGGGGGAUAACAACCAGAAAUGGUUGCUAAUACCGCAUAAGCGCACAGGACCGCAUGGUCCGGUGUGAAAAACUCCGGUGGUAUAAGAUGGACCCGCGUUGGAUUAGCUAGUUGGCAGGGUAACGGCCUACCAAGGCGACGAUCCAUAGCCGGCCUGAGAGGGUGAACGGCCACAUUGGGACUGAGACACGGCCCAGACUCCUACGGGAGGCAGCAGUGGGGAAUAUUGCACAAUGGGGGAAACCCUGAUGCAGCGACGCCGCGUGAAGGAAGAAGUAUCUCGGUAUGUAAACUUCUAUCAGCAGGGAAGAUAGUGACGGUACCUGACGAAGAAGCCCCGGCUAACUACGUG
rnacentral:rRNA from 1 species